CUGGUUGGCUCCAGCCAGGCUGGAACUUUCAGCUGUUCUGCCCAGAAGAAGGAUGCAUCGGCACACGCAAGUAAGCACAUAGCAUUCCCUUAGCAGCCAGGAAUAGAAAUGUUUAUACAGCUCGGAUGAGGAGAAUCCCUGCGCGCUGAAUAUUUGAGCAUCUGCAAUCCAUGGUUCUCCAAGUGUGGUGACAGGGCCCAGGAACUGCCCGGAUUCCGACCGACAGUCCUCUGCAGACCGGCUCUUCGCAUUGUUGCCUCUGCGUCUCACUUCUCGCCAUCGCUCACAGCCGGAGACUAAUACUUGGCUUCUCCCUCGACGCUGGCAGGUUGAAAAAAAACAUUCAUCGGGAUUCCUCUGUGAUGAAUUAACGGAUAGUGCGGCCUCAGCAUGCGGGGAAAAUCGUCUCCAUUGAGGAGUUCGCGCUUUAGUUGGGUGUUGGCAACUGAACCCCACCCACUUAAUUUAACGGCCGGUGCAGAACCGUUGUCUCCAAAUACCCUCUCCACCACAAGCCGCCUUGUAUUACUCUGAUGCCCAGAUCAGUGUGGAUGUCUCUGUGAUCCCGCAGAGACACGAUAAUAUCAGCAAAGCACCGGAUAAACGGCGACUACUCCUGACAUACACCCGGCCAGAGUCUACAGGGACACACUUGUACAUCGGGGAAAUCGGGCGAUUCACCAAAUGAUCUUCCCUCUUGGGCAGUCCCUCGGCUCCAAAAUGGCUUACUUCCGCAUUAGCGCGGCUUGGAAAGAAUAUAGUAAUGUAAAUGAGGACUCGGUGACAGCAAUUCUGCAGUGUUGAAACAUUGAUGUUUAGCGCUUCAGGCAAUCUGGAAAUAUACUUUUAAAAAUGCCAUGGUGUCGUAGUCUAGUGCCAAAGAGAGACUGGCCGAUAUCAGCCACUCAUUUCCCAACAGCAGGUAGUAAAUCUCAUCUCAAAGCUUGCCUAAGUUACAGCAUUUCCAACCGGGGAGAUAUUUAAGGAGACACUAGGACCUGAAGUUCAUAGAACAUCAGAGUACAGUACAGGAGGAGGGCUUUCGGCCUACAAAGGUGUACCAAACUAGCUAAACAGCAAAUCAAAAAUACCCCAAACACUCAUCCCUCCUAUUUUCAUCAUGCCUAUACCCCUUAAUCAUCCUGGCAUCCAUGUGUCUUUCCAAGCAUCUUUUUAAAACCUGUAUUGCAUUUGCCUCUAACACCAUGCCAGACAGCACAUUGCAGGCAUCCGUGACUCUGAGUGAAAAAGCUUGGACCUACCCCUCUCAUCUCCAAUGCAUGCCCUCUGACGUUAGAGGGAGAAUAGAGCAGUAAACAAGAUGUUGAAAGAAACAAAGUGUGGGACAGCCUGUGAGGAGGGUGGGUGGUCUCUGUUCAAUUCUAGGCCCUUCACUUGGACUGGAAGAUAGAGGGGAGAUUACCGGGAUAGAGAGGGGAGAGGAAGGGGUGGAGCGAGAACUGGCAAGCAAGUGAUAGGUAGAUUCAGCUGGUGACAAGUGAUAGGCAGAGGGAAGAGUGGAAAUAGGGGACAGAGUCUGGGAGUUGAUUGGUGGAGACAACAAAAGCUGCAGAUGAUGGAAUCUGAUAUGAAGGGAAGGUGGAGUGUGGAAUCCAAUAAGGAGAUGAGUGAGCUUUUGGGAGCAGUGGGGGUGGGAGGAGACCCAGAGGAGUGUGGGGCUGAUUGGAGUGGUCAGUGGAAGCAAAUUAAACAGGGUCAUGGGGGACUGGGGUGAAUGAAGGAACUGAGGAGGUUUGACUGAAAUCACCAUCCUCCCUUAUGCUGACUUGUUGCUUGCUAACAAUCAUUUUUAACAGAAAUGAUUGUUCUACCAAAAAUGUGCUAACACUAUUGAAUGGAUGAAGAAAAUUACACUAAGAAUGGGAGAGGAGUAAAGAAUUGAAGUUUCAGGCCAAGAUCCUUCAUCAGGGCUGGAAAGGAAGCGGGAAGAAACCACAAUAAAAAAGGUGAGAGGAGAAGGAGUAUGAGCUGGCAUGAGAUAGCUUUUCACUUCAUUCCCUCCCCCACCUAUCACCUGCAGGCUUGUGUUCCUUCCCCACCCCGCCAGAUACUGACAUUGCCAACUCUUUGUUCCUCUCCAUAGAUGCUGCCUGACCUGCUGAGUUCCUCCAGCACUUCUGAGUUUUGAUUCGGAUUUCCAGAAUCUGACUAAUAAUAUACGGAGUUCUGCACUGUG